AACCUAUGUUGAGGACAUUUCUGCAGGAAUUCCUUGAACCUACCACAUUCCUCAAGAAGAGACUCCAAUUCCGUUUUCACAAAGGAGGAUAUUUCAUUCUUGAGCUU